rnacentral:rRNA from 1 species
CCCAGACUCCUACGGGAGGCAGCAGUGGGGGAUAUUGCACAAUGGGGGAAACCCUGAUGCAGCGACGCCGCGUGAGUGAAGAAGUAUUUCGGUAUGUAAAGCUCUAUCAGCAGGGAAGAAAAAAGACGGUACCUGACUAAGAAGCCCCGGCUAACUACGUGCCAGCAGCCGCGGUAAUACGUAGGGGGCAAGCGUUAUCCGGAUUUACUGGGUGUAAAGGGAGCGUAGACGGCAAUACAAGUCGGAAGUGAAAUACCCGGGCUCAACCUGGGAAUUGCUUUGGAAACUGUAUGGCUGGAGUGCUGGAGAGGUAAGCGGAAUUCCUAGUGUAGCGGUGAAAUGCGUAGAUAUUAGGAGGAACACCAGUGGCGAAGGCGGCUUACUGGACAGUAACUGACGUUGAGGCUCGAAAGCGUGGGGAGCAAACAGGAUUAGAUACCCCAGUA